GAUGAACGCUAGCGGGAGGCCUAACACAUGCAAGCCGAGCGGUAUUUGUUCUUCGGAACAGAGAGAGCGGCGCACGGGUGCGGAACACGUGUGCAACCUGCCUUUAUCUGGGGGAUAGCCUUUCGAAAGGAAGAUUAAUACCCCAUAAUAUAUUGAGUGGCAUCAUUUGAUAUUGAAAACUCCGGUGGAUAGAGAUGGGCACGCGCAAGAUUAGAUAGUUGGUGAGGUAACGGCUCACCAAGUCAAUGAUCUUUAGGGGGCCUGAGAGGGUGAUCCCCCACACUGGUACUGAGACACGGACCAGACUCCUACGGGAGGCAGCAGUGAGGAAUAUUGGACAAUGGGUUAGCGCCUGAUCCAGCCAUCCCGCGUGAAGGACGACGGCCCUAUGGGUUGUAAACUUCUUUUGUAUAGGGAUAAACCUACUCUCGUGAGAGUAGCUGAAGGUACUAUACGAAUAAGCGCCGGCUAACUCCGUG
rnacentral:rRNA from 1 species